rnacentral:rRNA from 1 species
GACGACGCUGGCGGCGUGCCUAACACAUGCAAGUCGAGCGGACAGUGCGGAAGUGUAGCGAUAUACGGAAGCGCUGUGAGCGGCGGACGGGUGAGUAACGCGUGGGCAACCUGCCCCGCACCGGGGGAUAACACCGUGAAAACGGUGCUAAUACCGCAUAUCGCAGCGGGAGCGCAUGCUUCGGCUGUGAAAGGAGCAAUCCGGUGCAGGAGGGGCCCGCGUCCGAUUAGAUAGUUGGUGAGGUAACGGCCCACCAAGUCGACGAUCGGUAGCCGGACUGAGAGGUUGGCCGGCCACAUUGGGACUGAGACACGGCCCAGACUCCUACGGGAGGCAGCAGUGGGGAAUAUUGCGCAAUGGGGGAAACCCUGACGCAGCGACGCCGCGUGAAGGAGGAAGGCCUUCGGGUUGUAAACUUCUUUGACCGGGGACGAGAACGGACGGUACCCGGGGAACAAGCCACGGCUAACUACGUG